ensembl:snoRNA small nucleolar RNA SNORA23
GGUUAAUGGUGUGCACAGUGUAGUCUGUGAUAUGUGCUGUUGCUGGACUGUGUUUUACAGCCUCCGCAGCAGUGCUCAUGCCAAACCUACAGCCAUAGAUUAACUGGUGAUCAUAGUACUGGCCCUUGACGUCUUCAUUGACACACCAUUGGUCGGCCUCCAUACUCUCCUACAAUC